AUUGAACGCUGGCGGCAGGCCUAACACAUGCAAGUCGAACGAGUGGCGGACGGGUGAGUAAUGUCUGGGAAACUGCCUGAUGGAGGGGGAUAACUACUGGAAACGGUAGCUAAUACCGCAUACCAUCGGAUGUGCCCAGAUGGGAUUAGCUAGUAGGUGGGGUAACGGUUAACCUAGGCGACGAUCCCUAGCGGGUCUGAGAGUGUGACCAGCCACACUGGAACUGGGAAACGGUCCAGACUCCUACGGGAGGCAGCAGUGGGGAAUAUUGGACAAGGGGCGAAAGCCUGAUGCAGCCAUGCCGCGUGUAUGAAGAAGGCCUUCGGGUUGUAAAGUACUUUCAGCGGGGAGGCGGUACCCGCAGAAGAAGCACCGGCUAACUCCGUGCCAGCAGCCGCGGUAAUUC
rnacentral:rRNA from 1 species